GAGAGGCGUUCGCAACAGCGAAAACUGCUAAUUUUCGUCAACUUCAGUUGGACUCUGAAGCCCUCUCG